UUUGACGUUAGCGACAGAAGAAGCACCGGCUAACUCCGUGCCAGCAGCCGCGGUAAUACGGAGGGUGCGAGCGUUAAUCGGAAUUACUGGGCGUAAAGCGCAUGCAGGUGGUUUGUUAAGUCAGAUGUGAAAGCCCGGGGCUCAACCUCGGAAUAGCAUUUGAAACUGGCAGACUAGAGUACUGUAGAGGGGGGUAGAAUUUCAGGUGUAGCGGUGAAAUGCGUAGAGAUCUGAAGGAAUACCGGUGGCGAAGGCGGCCCCCUGGACAGAUACUGACACUCAGAUGCGAAAGCGUGGGGAGCAAACAGGAUUAGAUACCCUGGUAGUCCACGCCGUAAACGAUGUCUACUUGGAGGUUGUGGCCUUGAGCCGUGGCUUUCGGAGCUAACGCGUUAAGUAGACCGCCUGGGGAGUACGGUCGCAAGAUUAAAACUCAAAUGAAUUGACGGGGGCCCGCACAAGCGGUGGAGCAUGUGGUUUAAUUCGAUGCAACGCGAAGAACCUUACCUACUCUUGACAUCCAGAGAACUUUCCAGAGAUGGAUUGGUGCCUUCGGGAACUCUGAGACAGGUGCUGCAUGGCUGUCGUCAGCUCGUGUUGUGAAAUGUUGGGUUAAGUCCCGCAACGAGCGCAACCCUUAUCCUUGUUUGCCAGCACUUCGGGUGGGAACUCCAGGGAGACUGCCGGUGAUAAACCGGAGGAAGGUGGGGACGACGUCAAGUCAUCAUGGCCCUUACGAGUAGGGCUACACACGUGCUACAAUGGCGCAUACAGAGGGCGGCCAACUUGCGAGAGUGAGCGAAUCCCAAAAAGUGCGUCGUAGUCCGGAUCGGAGUCUGCAACUCGACUCCGUGAAGUCGGAAUCGCUAGUAAUCGUGGAUCAGAAUGCCACGGUGAAUACGUUCCCGGGCCUUGUACACACCGCCCGUCACACCAUGGGAGUGGGCUGCAAAAGAAGUAGGUAGUUUAACCUUCGGGAGGACGCUUACCACUUUGUGGUUCAUGACUGGGGUGAAGUCGUAACAAGGUAGCGCUAGGGGAACCUGGCGCUG
rnacentral:rRNA from 1 species